CAGCCGCCACGGGAAUACGAAGGGGGCUAGCGUUGUUCGGAUUUACUGGGCGUAAAGGGCGCGUAGGCGGACUGAUAAGUCAGGGGUGAAAUCCCAAGGCUCAACCUUGGAACUGCCUUUGAUACUGUUUGUCUUGAGUUCGAGAGAGGUAAGUGGAACUGCGAGUGUAGAGGUGAAAUUCGUAGAUAUUCGCAAGAACACCAGUGGCGAAGGCGGCUUACUGGCUCGAAACUGACGCUGAGGCGCGAAAGCGUGGGGAGCAAACAGGAUUAGAUACCCCGGUAGUCCCUGUCUCUUAUAC
rnacentral:rRNA from 1 species